rnacentral:rRNA from 1 species
UACAGAGGGUGCAAGCGUUGUUCGGAAUUAUUGGGCGUAAAGGGCGCGUAGGCGGUGCUGUAAGUCUGUAGUGAAAUCUCUGGGCUCAACUCAGAGUCUGCUAUAGAAACUGCAGUGCUGGAGUGUGGGAGAGGUGAGUGGAAUUCCUGGUGUAGCGGUGAAAUGCGCAGAUAUCAGGAGGAACACCAAUGGCGAAGGCAGCUCGCUGGGACGUGACUGACGCUGAGACGCGAAAGCGUGGGGGAGCAAACAGG